rnacentral:rRNA from 1 species
GACGAACCGUGCGAACGUUGUUCGGAAUCACUGGGCUUAAAGGGCGCGUAGGCGGUCAGAGGGGUCCCGGGUGAAAGCCCCCAGCUUAACUGGGGAAGUGCCCGGGAUACCGCCUGACUCGAGGGGGGUAGGGGCGUGUGGAACUUCCGGUGGAGCGGUGAAAUGCGUAGAUAUCGGAAGGAACGCCGGUGGCGAAAGCGGCACGCUGGACCCCUUCUGACGCUGAGGCGCGAAAGCCAGGGGAGCAAACGGG